rnacentral:rRNA from 1 species
GACGUAGGGCGCGAGCGUUGUCCGGAUUUAUUGGGCGUAAAGAGCUCGUAGGCGGCUUGUCGCGUCGAAUGUGAAAACUCGGGGCUCAACUCCGAGCUUGCAUUCGAUACGGGCAGGCUAGAGUUCGGUAGGGGAGACUGGAAUUCCUGGUGUAGCGGUGAAAUGCGCAGAUAUCAGGAGGAACACCGGUGGCGAAGGCGGGUCUCUGGGCCUUACCUGACGCUGAGGAGCGAAAGCGUGGGGAGCGAACAGG